ensembl:lncRNA
AUGGAACCGGUUCCGACUCGUCUCAGCACAGCUCCGUGCCGGGAUCCCUGAACAGCAUCUGAACCCCCCCAACGCAACGCAAACACAAACGCACACACACUUGAACUACACACACCUCAUCUCUCCCCCUUCCCAUACUGUGUACUUCCCAUUUCUACUACACACACCCACACACUACACGCACACAAACACACUACACAUGGAACAUAACCACUUGUUCGCUGUAUGACAGGGUGUAAAACUACAAGACUUGUACACUACACACACACACACACACAGACACACACACACACACACACACACACCCGCGCACAUGGCGUGUGUGUUUGAUUGGUCUCCUAGCUGCUAGGAAGUGAUCUAAGACGGAGGGCCGGUCCUCUGGAGAAUAUUACCAUGUCCUUUUUUUAUUUAUUGAUUGGAGAAUUUUAAAACUGUUGUGGCGAACAUGCGAAUUUUAUUUAGCUUUUUUUUUUUUUUCUUUGUCGUUAUUUUUGUACGUGACUGGAGUCGACGUUCCGAAGUCCUGAUUAGUUCGGCGUUCCCGAUUGGCCGCUCACUGGCCCCUCCCCCCCAUCAUCCAUUCCCGGUCGAGCCACAUCUCUCUCCUGCUUCCUCUCACGUGAUUGGCCCACAUGUCGGCCCGGUGUGCGUCGGACUUCAGACCAAAACCACCUCUUCUGUUUUUAUCUGUUUACACUUCCGUUACCGUGUCAUGUUGAAGUUUCCCCGAACCCCUCCCUUGCCGCCACUCUGUGUGUGUGUGUGUGUGUGUGUGUGUGUUUUUGUGUGUGUGCGUGCGUGUGUGUUUGUGUUAUUUAUGUUUUAUUCCAAACUACGAUGUAAGCUGCCAGUAUUUUAGGACUCCCCGUUGGUGAAUAUGAUUCUUUGACUUUGUUAUUUUAUUUGACCCUGCCCUUCUGUCCGCUGCCUCUGAGCUCCACACGAGGGUCGUUGCCAUCUCCCCCCGUGUCAGUCGAUGCCUGCCCCCCCCCCAUCGGCCUGUCCGAUUUGUGCGGCCGAGAAACGAAACGCUAAAAGAAAUUAAAAACAAACAGCCCCUUUCCCGGCGUGGGUGCGUUGGUUUCGCGUCCCGGGGCGGGCCGGGUUGAUUGUUGUUGCACCCGGAGCCGUGCGGAGCUAUGAAGCGGUGUGAACCCCGCCCGGCCGCGUCGCCCCGGGGGGGCGAACCCAACGCCCCUCUGCCUCCUGGAGUCCAGAAGCCAUCUCCUCUCUCUCUCCUCCCUCCCUCCCUCAUCGUUGCACAUGUGUAAAUAGGACCUGGUUUUUAAUUUGUGCUCUUGUCGAUACGUUGUUUAUAUCGUUUUAUUUUAUUUUAUUUUUUUUCAAUGUUUUCAUUGCAUCAUGACUGAAGCGCGUUUUAGUUUUUUUUGUAAAUACGUCCUGGGUUCCACGGUGUCCAUGGCGAUGCAGAAUGUAAAUAGAAGGUGAAACCGUGGGAGAGGAGACAUUCCACCGUCUGCCUCCUCCCCCCCGCCCUCCAUGUCUGUUAGGAUCUCUCUCUCCUCUCUGGCGCCCGGGCGUCUGUCUGUCCCCCGGGAGCGGGUGUCUGUCUGUCCCCCGGGGCGGGCGUCUGUCUGUCCCUCGGGCGGGUGUCUGUCUGUCCCUCGGGGUGGGUGUCGGUCUGUCCCUCGGGGUGGGUGUCUGUCUGUCCCCUCGGGGUGGGUGUCUGUCCGUCCCUCGGGGUGGGUGUCUGUCCCUCGGGGUGGGUGUCUGUCUGUCCUUCUCGGGGGGGGCACUGUGGGUCCUUCUGUUUUCUAGAAACAGGAAACGCGUCAUUACCUCACAUAAAACGUUAUUUUAUUCUGGAGAGCGCUUGGCGGCGAUGGGUCGUCUUAAACCUGGGUCUUAAUGGUUCGGGGACUGUCGGGGGUCAAGGAGGGAGGGUGGGCGCUAGGCACUAUAGUGUACCCUGUUAGUAGCAGGCUGUACUCUAGGCUCGUCGGGAACCCCCGGAUGAAGUACUUCUUCUGGUCCCGGGGGCGCGUCCCGGUGGUUUCCUCUCCGCCGUCGCUGCUAGGGCCACCGUGCCCGGAGCAUGCACGUGUGAGUGCGCACGUGUGAGUGCGCACGUGCGAGCGAGCACGUGUACGUGUGUGCGCGCGCACAUGCUCGUGGCCCAGAGAUUGUACUCUGGCCCGUGGUUUCAAACCGUAUCUUCUAGAAACCCGACCCGUCUGUGCAGAGGACCUCUGUGAAGCCGCUGUCGGUCCUAGCCGACACUUUUCAACACUUGAUAUUAUUUAGUUGUUUUGACUCUGGGUCUCGUUCGUUGUGAUGCUGUGUAGCUCCGGCCUCGCUCCGGGCCGACCGACGGGCGCAGGAGGAGAGAGAAACCACUGUUGUGUAUGUCACUACUUUGUGUAUGAUAUGGUGUCAUUUAAUAAAGUGAUGAAAC